UACGAAGGAUGCGAGCGUUAUCCGGAUUUAUUGGGUUUAAAGGGUGCGUAGGCGGUCUUAUAAGUCAGUGGUGAAAUCUUGUCGCUUAACGACAAACGUGCCAUUGAUACUGUAGGACUUGAGUACAGAUGCCGUUGGCGGAAUGUGUCAUGUAGCGGUGAAAUGCGUAGAUAUCGAGAGGAAACACCUGCGGCGAAGGCGGGUUGCUGGCCGACACUGACGCUGAUGCGCGAAAGCCAGGGGAGCGAACGGG
rnacentral:rRNA from 1 species